AGAGACAGCAGUCGCCGCGGUAAUACGGAGGGUGCAAGCGUUAAUCGGAAUUACUGGGCGUAAAGCGCACGCAGGCGGUCUGACAAGUCAGAUGUGAAAUCCCCGGGCUUAACCUGGGAACUGCAUUUGAAACUGUCAGGCUGGAGUCUUGUAGAGGGGGGUGGAAUUCCAGGUGUAGCGGUGAAAUGCGUAGAGAUCUGGAGGAAUACCGGUGGCGAAGGCGGCCCCCUGGACAAAGACUGACGCUCAGGUGCGAAAGCGUGGGGAGCAAACAGGAUUAGAUACCCCGGUAGUCCCUGUCUCUUAUAC
rnacentral:rRNA from 1 species